UACGGGGGGGGCGAGCGUUAUUCGGAAUUAUUGGGCGUAAAGGGCGCGUAGGCGGCCGCGUAAGUCAAAGGUGAAAUCCCUCAGCUCAACUGAGGAACUGCCUUUGAUACUGCAUGGCUUGAGGCCGGGAGGGGGUAGCGGAAUUCCCAGUGUAGCGGUGAAAUGCGUAGAUAUUGGGAGGAACACCAGUGGCGAAGGCGGCUACCUGGACCGGUGCUGACGCUGAUGCGCGAAAGCGUGGGGAGCAAACAGGG
rnacentral:rRNA from 1 species